rnacentral:lncRNA from 1 species
UGGGCAACAAUAGCAAUAUUGGUAAUUAAUCAUUGUUAUUUACCACUAAUAAUAACUUUAUUACUUAAUAAAAAUAAAUUUACUAUUAGUUACUGCAUAUUCUUAGUAACGCUAUUUUUAUUGUUCUUACAUAUGAAUUUUACCAUAUAUUGACACAAUAAAAUAUUUUUUAUUAACUAUUUAUAUUUAAAAAGAACAAAUAACAAUAUUAUCAAUGAUAAAUAAAAAUAAAUCCUAUUACU